rnacentral:rRNA from 1 species
UACAGGGGUCUCAAGCGUUGUUCGGAUUCAUUGGGCGUAAAGGGUGCGUAGGCGGCGCGGUAAGUCGGGUGUGAAAUCUCGGAGCUUAACUCCGAAACUGCAUUCGAUACUGCCGUGCUUGAGGACUGGAGAGGAGACUGGAAUUUACGGUGUAAGCGGUGAAAUGCGUAGAUAUCGUAAGGAAGACCAGUGGCGAAGGCGGGUCUCUGGACAGUUCCUGACGCUGAGGCACGAAGGCCAGGGAGCAAACGGG